GCCUCGGUGGUUUAGUGGAGAAAACGCUCGCCUGGUAAACAGGAGGGCGUGGGUUCAAUCCCAGCUGAGGUA
rnacentral:tRNA from 1 species